GCGCUCGUAGCUCAGUUGGAUAGAGUACAAGUUUCCGAAGCUUGGGGUCGUGGGUUCGAUUCCCGCCGGGCGCACCA
rnacentral:tRNA from 5 species